rnacentral:rRNA from 1 species
UACGAAGGGGGGCUAGCGUUGCUCGGAAUCACUGGGCGUAAAGGGUGCGUAGGCGGGAUCUUAAGUCAGAGGUGAAAGCCUGGAGCUCAACUCCAGAACUGCCUUUUGAUACUGGGAUUCUUGAGUUCGGGAGAGGUGAGCGGAACUGCGAGUGUAGAGGUGAAAUUCGUAGAUAUUCGGAAGAACACCAGUGGCGAAGGCGGCUCACUGGACUGGUAUUGACGCUGAGGUGCGAAAGCGUGGGGGAGCAAACAGG